CCACCCUAAAAUCUAGCAUCAAAAUGGCCCUUGAUCUUUGGUGCCGGAAUGUAGUGUGUAGUGCGUAGUGCCCAGACCCGAGGAUAAUGCCAAAACCGGUGCAGAAGCAAAUCUCUGAUAUGGAAUAGAAUGCCGCGACAAAGCGUGUUUCUUGUGGAAGCCCUGGCUUUUACAGUUAAUAAUGAUGUUGAAAUCCUGACCGUAUGCUCUAGGAACGGU
rnacentral:lncRNA from 1 species